GAUGAACGCUGGCGGCGUGCCUAAUACAUGCAAGUCGAGCGAACAGACGAGGAGCUUGCUCCUCUGACGUUAGCGGCGGACGGGUGAGUAACACGUGGAUAACCUACCUAUAAGACUGGGAUAACUUCGGGAAACCGGAGCUAAUACCGGAUAAUAUAUUGAACCGCAUGGUUCAAUAGUGAAAGACGGUUUUGCUGUCACUUAUAGAUGGAUCCGCGCCGCAUUAGCUAGUUGGUAAGGUAAUGGCUUACCAAGGCGACGAUGCGUAGCCGACCUGAGAGGCUGAUCGGCCACACUGGAACUGAGCCACGGUCCAGACUCCUACGGGAGGCAGCAGUAGGGAAUCUUCCGCAAUGGGCGAAAGCCUGACGGAGCAACGCCGCGUGAGUGAUGACGGUCUUCGGAUCGUAAAACUCUGUUAUUAGGGAAGAACAAAUGUGUAAGUAACUAUGCACGUCUUGACGGUACCUAAUCAGAAAGCCCCGGCUAACUACGUG
rnacentral:rRNA from 1 species